rnacentral:rRNA from 1 species
AGCGAGGUACUUGUACCUAGCGGCAGACGGGUGCGUAACAUGUGGGAAUCUGCCUUUUGGUUCGGAACAACACGGGGAAACUUGUGCUAAUACCGGAUAAGUCCUCACGGAGAAAGAUUUAUCGCCGAAAGAUGAGCCCGCACUAGAUUAGCUUGUUGGUAAGGUAAAAGCUUACCAAGGCUACGAUCUAUAGCUGAUUUGAGAGGAUGAUCAGCCACACUGGGACUGAGACACGGCCCAGACUCCUACGGGAGGCAGCAGUGGGGAAUCUUGCACAAUGGAGGAAACUCUGAUGCAGCGAUGCCGCGUGAGUGAAGAAGGCCCUUGGGUUGUAAAGCUCUUUUGUCGGGAAAGAUAAUGACUGUACCCGAAGAAUAAGGUCCGGCUAACUUCGUGCCAGCAGCCGCGGUAAUACGAAGGGACCUAGCGUAAUUCGGAAUUACUGGGCGUAAAGCGCGCGUAGGCGGUUAAGUAAGUUAAUUGUGAAAGCCCAAAGCUCAACUUUGGAAUUGCAAUUAAAACUACUUAGCUAGAGUUUAUCAGAGGAAAGCGGAAUACAUAGUGUAGAGGUGAAAUUCGUAGAUAUUAUGUAGAACACCAGUUGCGAAGGCGGCUUUCUGGGAUAACACUGACGCUGAGGUGCGAAAGUAUGGGUAGCGAAGAGGAUUAGAUACCCUCGUAGUCCAUACCGUAAACGAUGAUUGUUAGAUGUUGGAAAUUUAUUUUCAGUAUCACAGCUAACGCGUUAAACAAUCCGCCUGGGGAGUACGACCGCAAGGUUAAAACUCAAAUGAAUUGACGGGGACCCGCACAAGCGGUGGAGCAUGUGGUUUAAUUCGAAGCUACGCGCAGACCUUACCAACACUUGACAUGUCUGUCGCGAUUCCAGAGAUGGAUCCUUCGGUUCGGCCGACAGAACACAGGUGCUGCAUGCUGUCGUCAGCUCGUGUCGUGAGAUGGUGGUAGUCCCGCACGAGCGCACCCCCCUACUUCUAGUUGCCAUCAGUUAAGCUUG